GGGGGGCGAUAACGGCGUCGAGCGGCGGACGGGUGAGUAAUGCCUAGGAAAUUGCCCUGAUGUGGGGGAUAACCAUUGGAAACGAUGGCUAAUACCGCAUGAUGCCUACGGGCCAAAGAGGGGGACCUUCGGGCCUCUCGCGUCAGGAUAUGCCUAGGUGGGAUUAGCUAGUUGGUGAGGUAAGGGCUCACCAAGGCGACGAUCCCUAGCUGGUCUGAGAGGAUGAUCAGCCACACUGGAACUGAGACACGGUCCAGACUCCUACGGGAGGCAGCAGUGGGGAAUAUUGCACAAUGGGCGCAAGCCUGAUGCAGCCAUGCCGCGUGUGUGAAGAAGGCCUUCGGGUUGUAAAGCACUUUCAGUCGUGAGGAAGGUGGUGUAGUUAAUAGCUGCAUUAUUUGACGUUAGCGACAGAAGAAGCACCGGCUAACUCCGUGCCAGCAGCCGCGGUAAUACGGAGGGUGCGAGCGUUAAUCGGAAUUACUGGGCGUAAAGCGCAUGCAGGUGGUUUGUUAAGUCAGAUGUGAAAGCCCGGGGCUCAACCUCGGAAUAGCAUUUGAAACUGGCAGACUAGAGUACUGUAGAGGGGGGUAGAAUUUCAGGUGUAGCGGUGAAAUGCGUAGAGAUCUGAAGGAAUACCGGUGGCGAAGGCGGCCCCCUGGACAGAUACUGACACUCAGAUGCGAAAGCGUGGGGAGCAAACAGGAUUAGAUACCCUGGUAGUCCACGCCGUAAACGAUGUCUACUUGGAGGUUGUGGCCUUGAGCCGUGGCUUUCGGAGCUAACGCGUUAAGUAGACCGCCUGGGGAGUACGGUCGCAAGAUUAAAACUCAAAUGAAUUGACGGGGGCCCGCACAAGCGGUGGAGCAUGUGGUUUAAUUCGAUGCAACGCGAAGAACCUUACCUACUCUUGACAUCCAGAGAACUUUCCAGAGAUGGAUUGGUGCCUUCGGGAACUCUGAGACAGGUGCUGCAUGGCUGUCGUCAGCUCGUGUUGUGAAAUGUUGGGUUAAGUCCCGCAACGAGCGCAACCCUUAUCCUUGUUUGCCAGCGAGUAAUGUCGGGAACUCCAGGGAGACUGCCGGUGAUAAACCGGAGGAAGGUGGGGACGACGUCAAGUCAUCAUGGCCCUUACGAGUAGGGCUACACACGUGCUACAAUGGCGCAUACAGAGGGCGGCCAACUUGCGAAAGUGAGCGAAUCCCAAAAAGUGCGUCGUAGUCCGGAUUGGAGUCUGCAACUCGACUCCAUGAAGUCGGAAUCGCUAGUAAUCGUGGAUCAGAAUGCCACGGUGAAUACGUUCCCGGGCCUUGUACACACCGCCCGUCACACCAUGGGAGUGGGCUGCAAAAGAAGUAGGUAGUUUAAC
rnacentral:rRNA from 1 species